UAAACCGUGGAUCUAAAAUACUUGCGAUA
rnacentral:sRNA from 1 species